CUCGAUGGUGCAAGCUGGAAGUAUAAAACAGGCUUCCGACGCGCUUGCUAGGUCUUGCUGAUACUGGCGGAUGGAGGUUGGUAGGAGACUGGUGAAUGUGACGCUGCCUCGUGCAGUGACCCGGUCCCUUGCCAUGCUGACAGGGAUGUCCCCUGGUGAUCACUCCCAUCCGCAUGCAUGCAGUAUUCCAUACGCUCUACAUCACCAAACCGGUCAUGGUUCACAUUGACUGCUUGUGUGAGGCAUGAGAAGACUGAAUUUAUAGAUGGACUGUCUUGUUAAACAGAUGGGGAGGGCAUGGAAUGUGUUGGUGAAUCUCUUGAGUAAUGAGACGGCUGCCUGGAUGCCCAGGAACUCUGUUACUGAAAGGGAGCGAUGCUGCUGCAUAUGGCUAUUGACUGGGCUGACCAGUUCCAGGCACUGAAUCUUCUGUAGAAUGUGUGGAGAUGACAUGACUGCACAGUGAUGGAGCUGCUCCCUGUCCUCUCAGCCUUCCUGAUUAGUUGAUCAAGAGACACAGAGGCUGAAGAGCGCCCCCUUGCUACACAUGUAGCUGCUGCUGUGAAACCAUUCCAUGUGUAGUGCUGGCUUUGGUGCAUAAUCCAAUAUGAAACCAUGACAUGUGUAGUGCUACGCUACAUAAUUGUAGCGCAAAGCAAAUUUAAUGUGAAUGUUAAACAUUAAAGCUACCGAUUACA